AUUGAACGCUGGCGGCAGGCCUAACACAUGCAAGUCGAGCGAGCGGCGGACGGGUGAGUAAUGUCUGGGAAACUGCCUGAUGGAGGGGGAUAACUACUGGAAACGGUAGCUAAUACCGCAUACCAUCAGAUGGGCCCAGAUGGGAUUAGCUAGUAGGUGGGGUAACGGCUCACCUAGGCGACGAUCCCUAGCUGGUCUGAGAGGAUGACCAGCCACACGGGGACGGAGACACGGUGCAGACUCCUACGGGAGGCAGCAGUGGGGAAUAGUGCACAAUGGUCGCAAGCCUGAUGCAGCCAUGCCGGGUGGGUGAAGAAGGCCUUCGGGUUGUAAGGCACUGUCGGCAGGGAAGCGGUACCCGCAGAAGAAGCACCGGCUAACUCCGUGCCAGCAGCCGCGGUAAUAC
rnacentral:rRNA from 1 species